rnacentral:lncRNA from 1 species
ACGUUCCCACAACAUACAUAGAUGUAACUCUAGAGAAAAACAGUAAAGGUUCCUGAAGAGGGUUUCUGAGGAAAUGGGCAAGAUGUUGAAGGAGGUUACAUGCAGCUGCUUGGGGGAGGGUAUUAGACUUGUCAGGCUGAGAGAGAGUGAGAAAAGCAAGUCGCAUGAAUGCAUGCAGAUUGUUUUACUAACGUCAUUAGCAUUUCCAUACAUUAAAAAGUCAUUAUAGUACCAGUCCUUAAAUCCCUAGUUCACAGUUGUUCACGUGGAAGAAGGAAAAGAAAAGCCAGCAAUGGCUGAUCUCUUUUUUCAUUAACUGAUACCAAGUCAGAAAAAAUGCAGAGCUGUCUUAAAGUUUGUCUUAUUUGGGCUGUCCAGUCGGACUGUCUUCAUCGAGCUCUGUUUUGAUUGGCUUUUAGACUCCUUGUCUGUUAGAACCCUUGCCAUUUGUCAGUGUCUGCCUGCACCACCUCUGUGCUUGCUUAACAUCCUGUUGCAUGUCUAGAGUGCUCUGGGCUUAGAGUUUUCAGGCAUGUCUCUGUAUUCCCCUGUUCUUGUCAAAGCUUUUGUUUCGUUUCGCAUUUGUAGCGCAGAUCACUUUGUCAGCCACCUCAGCACUAAUGUCCCAUCUUAGUGUUUGUGUAUGCUGCUAAAACUCCCCACCGCAAACAUUCCAGUUUUCACAUGAAGACAUAGUCUGUGAACCUGAAGUAUUUAUGAUAAGAAAAAGAAAACAUCUCUGCUCUAGCCUGCAGCCCAGUUAAAGACUCUGUGAAAUGUGACACAUCUUCAGCACCUCAGUCUGGGAGAAUCUGGUCAGCACUGA